rnacentral:rRNA from 1 species
GAUGAACGCUAGCUACAGGCUUAACACAUGCAAGUCGAGGGGCAGCAUGGUCUUAGCUUGCUAAGGCCGAUGGCGACCGGCGCACGGGUGAGUAACACGUAUCCAACCUGCCGUCUACUCUUGGACAGCCUCCUGAAAGGAAGAUUAAUACAAGAUGGCAUCAUGAGUCCGCAUGUUCACAUGAUUAAGGUAUUCCGGUAGACGAUGGGGAUGCGUUCCAUUAGAUAGUAGGCGGGGUAACGGCCCACCUAGUCUUCGAUGGAUAGGGGUUCUGAGAGGAAGGUCCCCCACAUUGGAACUGAGACACGGUCCAAACUCCUACGGGAGGCAGCAGUGAGGAAUAUUGGUCAAUGGGCGCAGGCCUGAACCAGCCAAGUAGCGUGAAGGAUGACUGCCCUAUGGGUUGUAAACUUCUUUUAGAAAGGAAUAAAGUCGGGUAUGUAUACCCGUUUGCAUGUACUUUAUGAAUAAGGAUCGGCUAACUCCGUG